rnacentral:ncRNA from 1 species
UAUAGUUUUUGUUCAUGAUAUCAACAAGUUCUCCUAGUGCAGAUCUUGGUGGUAGUAGCAAAUAUUCAAAUGAGAAAUUUGAAGACUGAAGUGGGGAAACGUUCCAUGUGAACAACACUUGGACAUGCGUUAGUCGAUCCUAAGAGAUGGGGAAGCCUUGUAUCAAGGUUGCACUCUGUAUGAACAUGUAAAGGGAAUCAGGUUAAUAUUAUUGAACUGGGACAUGGUGGUGGACGACAACAUUAGGAAAUUUGGAGACGUCGUCGGGGGCCUUGGGAAGAGUUAUCUUUUCUUUUUAACGACUUUCCCACCCUGAAAUUGGUUCAAUUAGAGAUAGAGUCUAGUAUCUAGAAGAGCACCACACAUAUUGCGGUGUCUGGUGCCCCCUCGAUGGCCAUUGAAAAUAUGGAGGACCGAGUACCAUCCAUUCCUGGUCAUACUCAUAACCGCAUCAGGUCUCCAAGGUGAACAACCUCUGGUC